AGAAGAGAAGCUCCAUCAGGUCACCUUCAUCAACACCAACCAUGUUCUCUGUAGCUCUGCUGCUGCUGCUGGCUGCUGGAUCCUGUGUGAAGUGUGAGCAGUUGAUACAGCCAGCCUCUGUGACUGUGCAGCCAGGUCAACGUCUGACCAUCACCUGUCAGGUCUCUUAUUCUGUUAGCAGCCACUACACAGCCUGGAUCAGACAGCCUGCAGGGAAAGGACUGGAGUGGAUAGGUAGCAAAUACACUGGAGCUACAUUAUAUAAAGAUUCACUGAAGAGCAAGUUCAGUAUCGACUUAGACUCUUCCAGCAACACAGUGACUCUGAACGGACAGAGCGUGCAGCCUGGAGACUCUGCUGUGUAUUACUGUGCCAGAGACACACUGUGACACACACCA